rnacentral:misc_RNA from 1 species
CGCACAUUGCGCCCCGUGGUAUUCCGCGGGGCAUGCCUGUUCGAGCGUUAAUUCAAACCUCUCCGCUAUACUGCCUUGACGGGCGUUCAUGUGGGCUUUGAGUCUGUCUUGUUUGGUCAAAACAGGAAAUGCUCUAAAUGAGUGGACCGCAGCGAUGAUCCUUAAACGCAGUGGCUUGCAUUGUUUAAUUUGGAUUCAUCGUUCGGUUGUUAAAGGGAAUUGACUUCCCACACUCCUACUUCUAACCUCGAAUCAGGUAGGGAUACUCGCUGAACUUAA